UACGUAGGGUGCGAGCGUUAAUCGGAAUUACUGGGCGUAAAGCGUGCGCAGGCGGUUCGUUAAGUCAGCUGUGAAAGCCCCGGGCUCAACCUGGGAAUGGCGGUUGAAACUGGCGAACUAGAAUCUGGCAGAGGGGGGUGGAAUUCCACGUGUAGCAGUGAAAUGCGUAGAGAUGUGGAGGAACACCGAUGGCGAAGGCAGCCCCCUGGGCUGAGAUUGACGCUCAGGCACGAAAGCCGUGGGGG
rnacentral:rRNA from 1 species